GCCGGCGUGGUGGCACAUGCCUGUAAUUUCAGCUAUUCGGGAGGCUGAGGCAGGAGAAUCACUUGAACCUGGGAGGCGAAGGUUGUGGUGAGCCGAGAUCGAGCCACUGCACUCCAGCCCGGGUGGCUGAGGGAGACUCCGUCUCAAAAAAAAAAAAAAAAAGUCAGCAAUGAACUCGCUGUGCUGGCCCAAGGGCAGGAGAAGAAAGCCGCCCUUAAAGGAGAAAUUUGCAAAGACAAAAUGAGGUGAUGAGAAAAAGCCGAGUUCUAGGAAAUACCCGAGAGAUCAUCCAGGUGGUUCACAAAUAGCAGAAAAUCCAGGUGCAGUGUGAGAGGAGUGAGUAGGUUAGAUAGGAAUCUGGAUGGCUGAGCUGUAAGGACAUAAGCACUGACCUCCCGCAACCUUGACAAAGAUCAAAGCAAGAAUUUUUUUUUUUUUGAGAUGGAGUCUGGCUCUAUCACCCAGGCUGGAGUGCAGUGGCGUGAUGUGAGCUCACUGCAACCUCUGCCUCCUGGGUUCUAGCGAUUCUCGCCAAACAUGCUAUUUGCUGUCUCAUUUCUAUCUCUCGCCAUCCUUUGCAGCAAAUGCUGUACAUUUUCAUUGAUGAAGGAACUAGGUUUAACCAGAAAGGUUGAGCACGUACUCCCGCAGCUGGCUAGGAUUACAAAUGGGAAGGAAACCCUGGCCUCCUGGGGCCCCAAGUCUUCCCCUUCCUUGAGUCAUUCAUUAUUUUGAGCACUUACCAUUUUCAAGCCCCUCCUCACCUCUCCAACACCCACCUUUUUGAGUUCCUCUCUAUGCCUCAAGGUCAAAGGAACUCUAGUGGUUUCAUUAAAUAAAAUCAGAAAUGUUUCCGCUUUUUUAUCAAAGUUGCUCUCAAAAAUGUUCACUGCCGCACUGUUUUUUUCUUUUCUCCCUCUCUUUUUUUUUUUGAGACUAAGUCUCACUCUGUCGCCCAGAAUGGAGUGCAGUGGUGUGAUCUCGGCUCACCGCAACCUCCACCUCCAGGGUUCAAAGGAUUCUCCCACCUCAGCCCCCUGAGUAGCAGGGAUUAUAGGUGUGAGCCACACCGCACCCAGCUUUUUUAUUUUUUUAAAAUUUAUUAUUAUUAUUUUUGAGAUGGAGUCUCACUCUGUCACCCAGGCUGGAGUGCAGUGGGGCGAUCUUGGCUCACUGCAACCUCUGCCUCCUGGGUUCAAGCAAUUCCCCUGCCUCAGCCUCCCGAGGAGCUGGGACUACAGGUAUCCACCACCACGCCGAGCUAAUUUUUGUAUUUUUAGUAGAGACCAUGUUGGCUAGGAUGGUCUCGAUCGCUUGACCUCGUGAUCUGCCUGCCUCGGCCUCCUGAAGUUCUGGCAUUAUAGGCAUGAGCCACUGUGCCCAGCCUAUUUAUUUAUUUUUUGAGACACGGUCUCACUCUGUCCCCAGGCUGGAAUGCAGUGGCACAAUCUUGGCUCACUGCAACCUCUGCCUCCCGGGUUCAAGCAAUUCUCUUGCCUCAGCCUCCCAAGCAGCUGAGAUUACAGGUGCACACCACCAUGCGUGGGUAAUUUUUGUAUUUUUUUGGUAGAGACGGGGUUUCGCCAUGUUGCCCAGGCUAGUCUCGAACUCCCGGCCUCAAGUGAUCGUCCGCCUCGGCCUCCCAAAGUGCUGGGAUUACAGGUGUGAGCCACUGCGCUCUGCCAAAAUACUAUAUUUAAAUAUUUGUUGAGUGGAUGACUGGUGGAAUGAUUUUCUUCUGGUUAUUUCUCUGUGUUUUCCAAUGUAUUUAUAACGAAUACAUGUUGGCGUUACUAGUAAUAGGGAUCACCUAAUUUCUAUUUGAAUCAGUGUUUGAAAAAGUUUAUGAAGGUGUGUCUGACUAAGGCAAGCUAGGAUCAAAGGGAGCAGGGUGGCUUGGGGCGGAGACCAGGGGGAAUGAGAGGGUGGGAAGGGGUGGGCUUUAAUCCUAUCAAAGUUGAGUGGGCUCUCACCCUAUAUAAGAACGCAGCUGCAGUGAACCUUGUUCUUUCUGGCAGACCUGAGGUGUGGACGUAUCAUUGGCCUCUGUGAGUAUUGCUAUGUUAUUUUAUUUUCUUUCAUUUUACUUUAUUUUUUAGGGUCAGGAUCUCACUGUCGCCCAGGAUGAAGUGCACAGGUAGGAUGAUGGCGCCUUGCAGCCUCGACCUCCUGGGACUCACCCUUUUAGCCUCCAGUAGCUGGGACCACAGGCGCGCACCACCAUUCCCAUGUGCGUUUUUCUGCUUUUUUUUUUUUUUUUUUAGGAGAGAUGGGGUUUUCUAUGUUAUCCAAGCUGGUCUCGAACUCCUGGGCUCAAGAGCAAUCCUACCACCGUAGCCUUCCGAGUAGCUGGGACUACAGGCUUGAGCCACUCCGCCCAGCCGGGCUGUACUUUUGUUCUAUUUCUGUGAUUUUUUUUCAGUCUUAAGGACGAAGGCCCCACUGUCCCUCACACGUGUUCCUUCCUACUUGCAUUGUACUCAGUCCUCAUGGCUUGCAUCUGGAGGCUAUGGGCGGGGGAGUGCUUUGAAUAUCUAUACGUGGAAAGCCUUGUUUUUUACUUUUUAAGAAAGGGUCGUUAAAUUCGUGCUUUGUAGACCUUCAACAGCUCAUCAAGGGCUACUCUCCACCUCCUUGCUUAAAAGCCUCUUCUGAUGGGUAAGUGCUUCCACUUGCGAUCGCCGCCUUGCCGCAUCCCCUCAGCCUGUGGCACUCAAACUGUGGGGGCACUUUCUGCUCUCUGGUGAAAGUGCCGCCAUCUUUUGAGUGUUACCGCUUGAGAAGACUCAACCUGCGGAGAAGAUACCAUUUUGAUUGGGUGAGGGGGCGGGUAGCAGGAUGGCCCUAGACCCUGCCUAUGGCCGUUUCCUCGUGAUAUAAAUUUCUUGGCCGGGGCUCUUGCAGAUGGAGCUGCUCACCCUGUGGGCCUCAAAUGUGGAGCACUAUUCUGAUGUCCAAGUGGAAAGUGCUGCGACAUUUGAGCGUCACCGGUGACGCCCAUAUCAACGGAUGCCGUGGAGCUCGGUCUUCUGCAGGAACUAAAGAGCCUGUGGUUUCGAUUCCCAGCCGGAAACUGUCUUGGGUACAGGUCCCUUACAGCGUCUGGCUGUAAUGGCUCCGGAAAACCUGGGGAAGGGAAGGGGGCCUCCUGGGCUCUCACCUGACACAACUAAGGGAAUCUGGGUUAGAUGGUGAAAGGAAGAGAAGGUUCAGAGGGCGGCUGUGCGCCUGCGCCGGGCGCGGCGGCUCACACCUGUAAUCCCAGCACGUUGGGAGGCCGAGGCAGGCGGAUCACGAGGUCAGGAGAUCGAGACCAUCCUGGCUAACACGGUGAAACCCCGUC
rnacentral:lncRNA from 1 species